rnacentral:rRNA from 1 species
GAUGAACGCUGGCGGCGUGCCUAAUACAUGCAAGUCGAGCGAACAGACGAAGAUCUUGCUCCUCUGACGUUAGCGGCGGACGGGUGAGUAACACGUGGAUACCCUACCUAUAAGACUGGGAUAACUUCGGGAAACCGGAGCUAAUACCGGAUAAUAUAUUGAACCGCAUGGUUCAAUAGUGACAGACGGUUUUGCUGUCACUUAUAGAUGUAUCCGCGCCGCAUUAGCUAGUUGGUAAGGUAACGGCUUACCAAGGCAACGAUGCGUAGCCGACCUGAGAGGAUGAUCAGCCACACUGGAACUGAGACACGGUCCAGACUCCUACGGGAGGCAGCAGUAGGGAAUAUUACGCAAUGGGCGAAAGCCUGACGGAGCAAUGCCGCGUGAGUGAAGAAGGUCUUCGGAUCGUAAAACUCUGUUAUUAGGGAAGAAGAAAUGUGUAAGUAAAUAUGCACGUCUUGACGGUACCUACACAGAAAGCCACGGCUAACUACGUG